UACGUAGGGUGCAAGCGUUGUCCGGAAUUAUUGGGCGUAAAGAGCUCGUAGGCGGUUUGUUGCGUCGGCUGUGAAAUCCCGAGGCUCAACCUCGGGUCUGCAGUCGAUACGAGCAAACUAGAGUGUUGCAGGGGAGACUGGAAUUCCUGGUGUAGCGGUGAAAUGCGCAGAUAUCAGGAGGAACACCGGUGGCGAAGGCGGCCAUCUGGCUCGGUACUGACGCUCAGGCGCGAAAGCGUGGGGAGCAAACAGG
rnacentral:rRNA from 1 species